CACUGGCAUACCAUUGGAGAAAUGGUGGAUUUGUGAAUGUUCUACAUUAACCUACCAUGUUGGGGAGAAGAGUGGAGGUUGGGGCUGGGGUCAGCUUAUUUCCAUUGGCAGCCCAUCAAGAAAUACCUACUUCUUUCAUUUGACCCAUCUGAGGCCCAAUCACUUUCUCUCUUUUCAAUGUUCUACAGAGGUGAAGAAUGUCUUGCUCACAGACUACAGGGGUGCCAUGCAGUAAGUAAUUUUGCAGUUUUCCAGUUCUUCUUCCCUAUGGUGAAGGGAAAAGGGAAAGGAAGAAGGUUCUGCAUGGAUUUCCUUUAUGCAACAAUGACCAGCUGAAGAAACUGACAUUCCAAAAGGCAACUGACCACAGUAAUUGUCUGAAGCAACUGAACCCAGAUUUUCCUGACUGCAGGUCCAGUGCUGUCGCCAUUCACUGUAACGAGAAGCUGUAGGACCACUUGGUACACCAACUAUAGAGGGAAUUCUUAUUAAUUUAAAUAAAGCUGCCAUUUGUAAUGGGGUUCA
rnacentral:lncRNA from 1 species